rnacentral:tRNA from 5 species
CGGGGCGUAGCGCAGCUUGGUAGCGCGCCUGCUUUGGGAGCAGGAUGUCGGAGGUUCGAAUCCUCUCGCCCCGACCA